rnacentral:lncRNA from 1 species
UGACUGCAUGGGCUGGCGUACAAGGUCUCACAAACUGGGGCUUCAGCGGCAGCUCCGAACAGCUCUGAAGGCUGGAAAUCCUGGGCGUGGGCAGGGUUGGCUGCUUCUGAGGACUCGGAGGGCGCGUCUGUUCCGUAACUCUCUCCUGGCUCCCGGGAGCCCAGGCACCUCUCAGCCUGUAGGUGCAUCACGGACCCUCCACCCUCACAGGGUGUGGCCUCUGCGCCUCUGUCUCCCCAGGACUCUGUUCUUAUAACUCACCUUGGAUUCGGGGGGGGCCCCCCUGCCUCAGUGUGACCUCGUCUUGGCUAAUUCACCCACAGUGGCCCUAUUCCAAUAAGGUUCCAGGUAUGGGGGCUAGGACUUCAGCAUGUCUUUUGGGGGUGACAGAAUUCAACACCCCCCCCUUGCAGUUCCUGCUGUGGCACAACAGGAUUAGCAGUGUCUCUGCAGCAGCCAGGACACAGGUUUGAUCCCCGGCCUGGCACAUGGGGUUAAAGGAUCUGGCUUGUAGGUCGCAACUGCGACUGGGAUAUGAUCCUUGGCCGGGAACUCUGUAUGCCCCGGGGGGGGGGCCAAAAAUUUUUUAAAAAUUCAACCCCCAACUUAGGGACUUGGGAGGGGCCUGUGGCAGCAAGGGCCUCUGAGUUGCAAACAAGCUUCUUCAGCACAGCAGCAGCCCUACCCCUGGGAUGAAGUGGGGAAUGGUGUGUGGGGGGCGUGGACCGUCAGUGGGGGCAUAGAAACCCAUCAUUCCCCGCCAGCCCUCUCUGGCCACCCUGGAGGUCCCAGUUCCUCUUUUGCAGAAGCCCUCCUGGGUCUCUCAAGGGCUUUCCCUGUCCCCCAUCCCCGCAGACUAGAAGUGGCCCCAGGAGAAGGCGUCAACCGAAGAGGAACAGGAGUUGGUGAACAUAUGCCUCAGCUUCCUCAUCCGCCUCAAAGGGACUUUAAAACAAUUUUUUUGGAGUUCCCUUCAUGGCUUAGUGGAUUAAGAACUUGGCUAGUAUCCAUGAGGAUGUGGGUUCAAUCUCUGAUUUCACUCAGUGGGUUAAAGCAUCUGGCGUUGCUGUUGAGCAGCAGUAAAGGUCAAAGUCACAGCUCAGACCCGGCGUGGCUGUGGCUGUGGUGUAGGCGGCCUCUGUAGCUCCAGUUAGACCCCAGCCUGGGAACUUCCACACGUCAUGAGUGCGGCCCUAAAAAAAUAAAUAAAUAAAAAAGAGAGAGAUGGCAUCUGAGGCAGGACCUGGGUGUUGAGAAGGAGGUGGCCGAGCAGGGGUCUGAGGAGGCCCCAGGAGAGCGGCCAGGGUUCAUGGGGAUCAGGAGGAGCCCAUGGUGGGAGAGGCUGCAGAAACCUGGAAAUAUAUGAGUGUGUGUGUGUGUGUGUUUCCUGGACCUAAGUGAGGCCUGUGGGAGGUGAGGUGAGGGCCCAGCCUGGGCUCAUCCACAUGCACAGGAAGCUGGGUUCUGCAAACUUUCACGUGCCCAUUCCAGUCCCAUUUCAAGUAUCUUGUCAGGUGAUGAGAAGACCAAGUUGUUUCACCGGAAUUUCUGGGAUUAGCUUCGGAUCCUCUGUGUUGGCGUGUAAUGGAAGAACAGCUGCAGCUGCCCCACCAGGGCCUUGCAGCUCUGGCUGUGGAGCAGGCAGAUGGGAGACAGCUGCCAGGGCCUUCCUGGGGUGGGUCUCUCCAGCUGCAAAGGGGGAGUGAGUCAGAGUGUUGAAAACUGCCCCCGCCUGAGGCUGGGGCGGGUGUGGCUCCCUUGCUGAUGAACACCUGCCUUUGUACUCAGUAUUCUGUAGUAGCGCACAUGGGAAAAUGGAAUGGAGAUACGUGUAUAUAUAUGUAAAACUGAUUCCCUUUGUACAAUGUUGUAAAUCAACUAUACUCCCAAUGUUUUUUUUUGCUUUUUAGGGCCGUACCCAUGGCAUAUGGAAGUUCCCAGGCUAAGAGUCGAAUUGGAGCUACAGCUGCUGACCUACACCACAGCAACAUGGGAUCCGAGCCAUGUCUUCGACCUACACCACAGCUCACGGCAACGCCGAAUCUUAACCCACUGAGCAAGGCCAGGGAUCGAACCCGCAACCUCAUGGUUCCUAGUUGGAUUCGUUAACCACUGAGCCACUACGGCAGCAAGCCUUAACUGCUGUGGUUUGGUUUAGAACAACUGUAACAUAUUCUUUUGUUUCUGGCAUUGUCCCAAAUGACCCCCUCCAGCACUUUGAUGUUCCUUAGGGCAGUAGUCUGCAACACAACCCUCACAGUGACAGUAUCUUAAAUGUUUGAUCUCCACUGUCCAUUCCAACAGCCCAGGAGGCAGACUGAUAGAUAAGGAAACCAGCUCUAAGAAGCUAGUGAAUUUGCUCCAGGCACAAAGGCACUAAGAAUCCUGUUUUUCUUCCCCACUGCUGCUCUGAGACCACUAGAGGUUCUCUGACUUCCUCCACAGGCCACAGAACAUUGGUGACCCAACAGGGGUCCCUCCCCCGUGCUCCCCAGGGACAGGCCAGGGCUCCGUCCUGGGCCCUGGAGACUGGCUUUUACUUGGAGGCUUACUAAGUAGCUACCCAUUAUCCUCUGGUGAGGAGGAGGAGCCACAUUUUGAGGAGCUCGCAGCGUCCAGCUGUCCACCUUCCUUUCCUGUUGGCACACUGGGCCCAGGUUUUGGCUGCUUUUGCUACAGCGGCAAGCGGAGGAUCUAAACUGGGCUUUGCAGGGUCGCAUUGUUUGGAAAAACCAUAUGCUUCUGAGCCAGCUCUUUAACAUAUGUGGUUGGACACAACAUUGUAAAUCAACUGUACUUUAAAAAAAAUUUUUGCGGGGGGGGGUUUCCAUUGUGGCUCAGCAGUAACAAACCCGACAAGAAUCCAUGAGGAUGUGGGUUCAAUCCCUGGCCUUGCUCAGUGGAUUGAGGAUCUGGCGCUGCUAUGAGCUGUGGUACAGGUCAAAACCUGGCUGGGAUCCCACGUGGAUGUGGUGUAGGCUGACAGCCGAGGCUUCAACUUGACCCCUAGCCUGGGAACUUCCGUAUGCCUCAGGUGUGCCCAUAAAAAGACAAAACAAAAAUUUUUUUUUUUUAAACAUGUGAUUAAAAUGAGAUCCACGCCGCAGGGUUCCUGUUCUGACUUCGACUUAAGUACUCUGUGGACCAGUUAGAUGUAGAAAUAUCUUGAGGGGUUUACAGAUGAUACCCUCCUCCCACCCACAUUCCUACCCUGGAGGGAGCCUGCUGCCUAAGUUCCUGGAGGAGUGGAAUUGAUAUUACCUUUUAAAAAUUUGCGUGGGGAGUUCCCCUGGUGGCUCAGUGGGUUAAGGAGUAUGUUUUCGCUGCUGUGGCUCAGGUUCAAUUCCUAGCCCGAGAACUUCCGCAAGCUAUGGGUGCACCAAAACUAAAUAGGCCAACUUCACAGAAAUACACGAACCAAAGAAAAGCAAACUUCACAUGUUACACUAAUUAGGAGAGGGUUCUGAUUCAAAAGAAAUGUUCAUUGUAAAGUCCAAAUGCAAAUGUCAUGGCUUUGAAUUUAGACAUUGGAUUUGAGUUGACUGUGGCUUUAGACAAGUUACUUAUUCUCUUCUAUUGCUUUGCUGUCUUGGCUGCAAUGAGGCUCAUGCCCAUGUGAAGCUUGACAGCUCAUGAAAAGACCAGCCCCGUGCCAGGCACGUGAUAAGAACGCCGUCAAUAUUGUCGUCUCCCCAGUUAGGAUUUCCUGUGCACAAGCAGGCUUAUCGUGCUUUCUCCUCAGAAAUAGUUUGGCUUCUUACCACAUAAUUCUGCAAAGUAGAUUAAAGUUCUUCCUACACCCUCGCUUGCAUUAUUAGUUUACCCAGCAGACUUUUACAAAGUCAGGCUAACUCUCAGGGCAGCUGGGUCCAAAUGCGACCGGAGCCAUGUGACUUCUUCCCUGAGCUGGCUGCAGAAACAGUUGGUAGCAUCCUUAGCUGUUUUUCCCUGGCACGCGGGGAGGUGACAGUGGAGUGGGUGGGGCUCAGCCAUGUGUGUGGUGGAGCCGUCAAAGACCCCAGGAUUCCAGACUGGACGGCUCUGUAGCCCAGUAGCCUGACUUCACACAUCAACAAACAGAGGUUCUUCGGGGCCAGGUAACUGCAGGGUGGUGUCACGCUGGGCUGUCAAGGGCUUGGGCUCGGAACGAAGCUGCUUGGCUCCUGGGGUUUGGGAAGAUCAAGCUGGCUAGCCUGAGCCAUGUUACCUAAGCUUCUAAGUUUCCUCCUCCUCUAAACAAAAGCUUUACCUACUUUUUUUCUUCUUUUUUUGCUUCUUUUUAGGGCUUCACCUGCAGUGUAUGGGAGUUCCCAGGCUGGGGGUUGAAUCAGAGCUGCAGCUACUGGCCUCUGCCACAGUUGCAGCAACACUGGAUCCUUUAAUCCACUGAGCCAGGCCAGGGAUUGUACUGGCAUCCUUCAUGGAUACUAGUUGGGUUUGUUACUGAUGAGCCGUAACGGGAACUCCGAUGAAUUGUUGAUCUACAAGGAUUCAGAACUCAAUGUUGAGGGCAAUUCACUUCCUCUGGGCCGUUUUCACAGUGCAGUUGUUCUGUUCCUUUGGUGAGGAUUACUAACACAGGGAUGGGUGCCUGAUGAUAUGUCAUCACUCUUGACUCUAUUGAAAUGCUGCUUGGGUUUCUUGAGGUUCUGCCUUUAGAGAAAAUUCUAGGUGUGUCCCCCAGAUCCCAGAAGGAGUCUGCUACAGAGAACCCCCUUAGACAUGUCCUUGACCCUUACUUUGGACCUUUGUGUGUCAGCUCACACACACCUGUUACAGUAUCUACCUUCUGAGCGUUAGA